GCGGGCAUAGCUUAAUGGCAGAGUCCCGGCUUCCCAAGCCGGUUGUGCGGGUUCGAUUCCCGUUGCCCGCUCCA
rnacentral:tRNA from 4 species